rnacentral:rRNA from 1 species
UGAGGAAUAUUGGUCAAUGGGCGCAAGCCUGAACCAGCCAUCCCGCGUGCAGGAAGACGGCCCUAUGGGUUGUAAACUGCUUUUCCAGGGGGAGAAUUUUUCUGUCGUUACAGGAAUUGACGGUACCCUGGGAAUAAGCAUCGGCUAACUCCGUGCCAGCAGCCGCGGUAAUACGGAGGAUGCGAGCGUUAUCCGGAUUUAUUGGGUGUAAAGGGUGCGUAGGUGGAUAGAUAAGUCAGUGGUGAAAACCUGCAGCUUAACUGUAGACUUGCCGUUGAUACUGUCAGUCUUGAGUAUGGUCAAGGUAGGCGGAAUGUGUAAUGUAGCGGUGAAAUGCUUAGAUAUUACACAGAACACCGAUUGUGAAGGCAGCUUACUGGGCCAUUACUGACGCUGAUGCACGAAAGCGUGGGGAUCGAACA